GUUAGCUUCUCCACCACCUAUGCAAGCAAAAUUUAUGUAAAUCUUGAUAUAAAUUACAUAAGAUCUUUGGCUCCAAAAUUUUCCACCAUGUCCAUAGAACUUCAAGUUAUCGAAAGCUCUAAUGUUAACAGUCUUCCUAUUGAGGAAGAGAUGUUUUUGAACCGAAUGGACAUUAAGGAGUUGUUGGAGGCUGAAUGGAGCUCUGAACUAUAGGAAUACAUUGUUACCGUGAAGAGCAAGAUAAAGGAAAUAGAUAACUAUUUUGGUUGGUACUACAUUUCAUGCAAUGUGUGUUCGAAGAAGAUUGAACCAACAAAUAGGAUCUAUCGAUGCAACAAUUGCAAUAAAGAUUGCAAGUUUCCUUUGGUCAGGUACAAGAUACACCUAAAAGUGACAGAUAGGACUGGAGACACUACUUUUACCAUAUUUAAUGAUGUGGCUGAGAAACUCAUUGAUACAUCGGCUCACAAGUUGUUUAACAAGCUUACCACGGCUAACAAUGAUGUGCCUGUCUAAGUCCAAAGCCUCUGCGGGAAAGAAUUUGUUUUUAAACUAAGAUUAAAUCAUUAUAAUUUGAAAGAAGGGCUUGAGAAUUUUACAAUAUCAAAGCUUUGGAUUCCAGAUGAUAAUUUGGAAGUACAAUACAAACUAAGGAAAGAAGAAAAGCGGAAGAACUUAUCCAACAAUGAAACCACCCCAAAGGAUCAGGGAACUAACGGAUUGACCAAAGAGAUGAACAAUCAGGUAUCUGUUGAUGUGUUACUGACUGACUUGGAAGAUCAUGAGGAUGAACUACAUGUCACUAAUGGUUCUAAGAGUAGGAAACGAAGAAACCUAAUCAUAGAUGGUGAGUAAUUAAGCGUUGCA